rnacentral:rRNA from 1 species
CAUGUCUUUUUGAUUAUAAUUUAAAGUCUAACCUGCCCUAUGAUUUAUUAUUAAAUGGCCGCGAUAUAUUGAUCGUGCAAAGGUAGCAUAAUAAUUAGUUUUUUAAUUGAGAACUGGUAUGAAUGGUUGGACGAGGAAAAGGCUGUCUCAAUUUAAUUUAAAUUAGAAUUUUAUAUUUAAGUCAAAAAGCUUAAAUAAAUUUAAAAGACGAGAAGACCCUAUAGAGUUUUAUAUAAAAUAAAUUUUUAAUAUAAAAGUAUUUAAAAUUUAUUAGUUUAUUUUAUAUUUAGUUGGGGUGACUAAAAAAUUUAAUUAACUUUUUUUAUUUAAUUUAACAUUGAUUUAUGAGUAAGUGAUCCAUAUAUUAUGAUUAAAAGAUUAAAUUACCUUAGGGAUAACAGCGUUAUUUUUUUUGAGAGUUCUUAUCGAAAAAAAAGUUUGCGACC